UUCCUACUGUGCCUUGUGACAAUAUUGC
rnacentral:sRNA from 1 species